GCGCUGGCUUGGGCAGCACGGACACUAAAGCUGGAACAGCACGCUGAAGAUCAGCGUGGCCCCUGCACAGGGACGGCAUGCAAAUUCUGCAGCGUUCCGUAUUUUU
rnacentral:snRNA from 1 species